rnacentral:rRNA from 1 species
UACGAAGGGGGCUAGCGUUGCUCGGAAUCACUGGGCGUAAAGCGCACGUAGGCGGCUUUCUAAGUCAGGGGUGAAAUCCUGGAGCUCAACUCCAGAACUGCCUUUGAUACUGGGAAGCUCGAGUCCGGAAGAGGUGAGUGGAACUGCGAGUGUAGAGGUGAAAUUCGUAGAUAUUCGCAAGAACACCAGUGGCGAAGGCGGCUCACUGGUCCGGUACUGACGCUGAGGUGCGAAAGCGUGGGGAGCAAACAGG